GGUGCCUUGAGCCAUCCUAGGAGGCAUCCCAAGUAACAACAUUAAGAACGUAUAAAUGUUUGAACUGUGCAGACUUCUUGUUGUGAGAAAAAAAGCCUGCAGCCAAUGAGAUAGAAAUGGAGAGAAGGGCAAUAGCAGCUUGCACACGUCAAGGAUCUGCAGCGCAUGAAACCCCUUAAACUGAAGAUGAUGUUCCUGAAGCCUAGAGAUGUCAGCACUCGCAGUCAGCCGCUUUAUCAUCCAUUGCUCCAUUAACCUCAUCCACCUGGUCAACACAAUUCAAACAUACCAGAUACAGACUCAGUUAAAACAGAUAUGGGUGCAAGUCAUGACACUUUUACAGAUUAAAGAUGUCCGAGAUUCACGAUGAAUGCUGUUUGAAGAAGAAUGAACAGAAUCACAUUUUAAUUUAAUCUCACUGCCAAUGUGGACUUAAAGAGGACGGGCUCUGUUAUGACAACUGUAUUUUUAAGUAACAGAGAUAAGGGUGUUAUUGGAAUCAUUUCAAUAAAAUAUGGGAGUACCGGUACAUACCAGUUUGAUAUCUUGAUUAGACUGGGACUUAAACUUAAACAAAAACGAUAGAUAUUGGACCUCUCUAAUACACAUUAUAAACAUCUCAUGUCUUAAGUCAAUAACAAAGCUGUAAUAAGGCGAUAUUUAGUGUAAUUAACACUUAGGGCUAUUCUCCUAAAACAUAUAACCACCGGGUUUGGCAGAUUUUUAAUAAUAUAUGGUUGGGCUUUUUUGCUAAUUUGCACCCCAAAAGGCACAUUUGCUUUUGUAUGGGGUUGGCAUAAAAACUUAAUAAAUGCCUUCCCUCCAGUGGUUAUAUUUUUAAAUGGACAAAAUAUCAAACUGGUAUGUACCUUAUCAACAUUUUUAGCUGGACUAUUUGAAUAAUAAGGAGGGUUAUACCACUCGCCUCAGCAUCUGCUUUGGCUUUAGCGUCCGGUUAAAGUUUAAGACCAAGUUGGGAUUUUCACUCAUAGGGAUUUUCACUCAUAACUGCAAAACCCUUCAUUAAAGUCACUUAAUACUCCAUACAGUUGUUCAGGGUCAUUACAUAAUGAGGUUAAUACUUCAAUAGCCUUCAUUCAAUGGACUUAAUACCUUGCACAAUUAAUGAUGAACAUCUUACAAUAAGGUGACAUAACUCCAUUUUAACUAAAUACAAAUUAUUGCCCUUUUUUCAUUUUUAUUUCUUAUGUCAGGCACAUUUAUAUAUUCUUAACAGGGUUUUUGAAAGCUAAUUGUUUGGGCGGGCUGGUGGAAGGGUCUUCAAAGUCACCUUAUGUGUAAAAUAAUUUUAGCUAGGUUUGACAUAUAGUGACCAAACUUCGUAUGUAGGAAGCCUUUAUGAAGACCUUUCAUGAGAUUGCGUUUUAGGCUUCUGGGAUCAAUAUAAAGGUCAAAGUUACUAUUAAAAGCAAAAGAACUGGUAUUGAUUAACUUAAAGGUCGACAUAUUGUGACCAAACUUGGUUUAUAUGAAAGUUCAUACAGACUUUUUAUGCCCCCGAAGGUGGGCAUAUUAAAAUUGCACCGUCCGUCCGUCCGGCUCUGUAACUUUCCCUUGUAUGGACAGAUUUUAAAAUAACUUGCCACAUGUGUACCACAUACCAAGACGACGUGUCGCGUGCAAAACCCGUGUCCCUACCUCAAAGGACAAGGUCACACUUAGUGUUUAUUCACCAUAGAGUGCUGCAUACAAGGACAUAGGGUAUAGGUUGUCGUGUCCGGGCUGUAACUUUCCCUUGUAUGGACAGAUUUUAAAAUAACUUGCCACAUGUGUACCACAUACCAAGACGACGUGUCGCGUGCAAGACCCGUGUC